rnacentral:lncRNA from 10 species
GAGUGAUCACAGUUUUUGAGAAUCAUGAUGAGGCAUUAAAGAAGAGGAGGAGUGUCUCAAGGGAGGUGAGCUGGAGGUGAUGCAAGGUGGAGAGAGGAUGCCAGACAGAUAUUUGAGCAGAACAAAGAGAGCCAACAGGAUGAAGGCAUUCCCUGGCUGGUUGGACAAGCAACUGAAGAACAGGAACAGAAGUGAAUGAAAAGAGAAGAUGCUGUGUUUGUGUUUUCUCUUGGUUAGAAUGCUGUGAGUCAGGACCUUAGCUGCUGGGUGUCCUGGGACUGCCUUCGAUGAAGAACCUGAGGCUCACCUUGCUUAAGUGACUUGAGCAGCUUCACGCAUCUUGUAAGUAGUAGAGACAGAGUCAAAACCAGAUCUUCCUGCCCUCUCUAUCAUAUAAACCACUUACACUGAAUUACAAAGUGAAACUGAUCUAUGGUGAAUUGUACUAAUGUUCUGCUUCUGCCAUGGGCACCAGAGGAGAUACCUUUCUUUGUUGACACUAAUCUCAAAGGCUAAAUUAGAUCCCCCAAACUCAUUUCCAUUAAUAACAUGUCAAAGGCUUGUGUCAUGCGUUAAUUUAUCC